GAUGAACGCUGGCGGCGUGCCUAAUACAUGCAAGUCGAACGGAAAGGCCUCUUCGGAGGUACUCGAGUGGCGGACGGCUGAGUAACGCGUAGGAAUGUACCCCAAAGUGAGGAAUAACCUCGAGAAAUCGAGGCUAAUACCGCAUGUGCUCUAAGGAGUAAAGCUUCGGCGCUUUGGGAACAGCCUGCGUAAGAUUAGCUUGUGGGUGAGGUAAUGGCUCACCAAGGCGACGAUCUUUAGCUGGUCUGAGAGGAUGAUCAGCCAGACUGGGACUGAGACACGGCCCAGACUCCUACGGGAGGCAGCAGUAGGGAAUUUUCCACAAUGGACGAAAGUCUGAUGGAGCAACGCCGCGUGCAGGAUGAAUGCCUUUGGGUUGUAAACUGCUUUUAUGAUUGAAGAUAAUGACGGUAAAUCAUGAAUAAGGAUCGGCUAACUCCGUGCCAGCCGCCGCCGUAA
rnacentral:rRNA from 1 species